UAGGGAAUCUUCCACAAUGGACGCAAGUCUGAUGGAGCAACGCCGCGUGAGUGAAGAAGGUUUUCGGAUCGUAAAGCUCUGUUGUUUGUGAAGAAGGAUAGAGGUAGUAACUGGCCUUUAUUUGACGGUAAUCAACCAGAAAGUCACGGCUAACUACGUGCCAGCAGCCGCGGUAAUACGUAGGUGGCAAGCGUUGUCCGGAUUUAUUGGGCGUAAAGCGAGCGCAGGCGGAAGAAUAAGUCUGAUGUGAAAGCCCUCGGCUUAACCGAGGAACUGCAUCGGAAACUGUUUUUCUUGAGUGCAGAAGAGGAGAGUGGAACUCCAUGUGUAGCGGUGGAAUGCGUAGAUAUAUGGAAGAACACCAGGGGCGAAGGCGACUCUCUGGUCUGCAACUGACGCUGAGGCUCGAAAGCAUGGGUAGCGAACAGG
rnacentral:rRNA from 1 species